AGAACAGGAUUCAUGACUAAAAAAAGCUAACCGGCUUGCUGCUAUCAAGAAUUAUGCUUACAGUGACUAAAGAUGAUCAAAGGGACUUUUAAUCUGAACUGAUGAGGAAUCCAUUUCGACGCCAGCUGAGAAGUGAUGCGAAACCAUCUAUUUUUUUCUUUCAUAACAAAAUGAAAGAUUUUCUAUUAGAUGUAACCUAACGUUAGCUAGCCUAGCUGGACCAACUAGAUACAGUCCUGUAUUGAACUCUGAAAGACGUCAACAAAAACAUAUAGCGGUCUUUUGGAUGCACACUGUCAAUCAAUUUCGCCAAUGCUAACUUCAGCAGAGUCAUACAGAAGAAUCUUAUUCCAUCAGAAUGUGCUUCCAACCCCUAGCUCUGCACAAGGUGAAGAAGGUACACACGCAUGAGGGAGUGGACACAACUUGCCAUUAUGGAGCACAACAACAUUGUGGGACAAAAACCGGAAAGGGAUACUGAAAGCAAAUCUUCUGCAAGAGCUUAAGGAAGUUGGUGGUUAAGAAGGUCUACGAGCCCUGCACUCACCACUUCCUUCAGAGUCUUAUCCAGCUGGCCGGUACCGCAGACAGGACAAGACCAUUCGCCACAAGCACAAAGAGUCUCAGCUUCCCCUGCCCACCAUACCAAACACCAUUGCCAGUCUACCGAAGCCAGAUAAAGGACAGUGUGGCUGAAC